rnacentral:rRNA from 1 species
GCCUAAUACAUGCAAGUCGAGGGGUAGAGAAGGCUUGCUUUCUUGAGACCGGCGCACGGGUGCGUAACGCGUAUGCAACCUACCUUUAUCUGGGGGAUAGCCCGGAGAAAUCCGGAUUAAUACCGCAUAAAAUCACAGAAUAGCAUUAUUUAAUGAUCAAACAUUUAUGGGAUGAAGAUGGGCAUGCGUGUCAUUAGCUAGUUGGCGGGGUAACGGCCCACCAAGGCGACGAUGACUAGGGGAUCUGAGAGGAUGGCCCCCCACACUGGUACUGAGACACGGACCAGACUCCUACGGGAGGCAGCAGUAAGGAAUAUUGGUCAAUGGAGGCAACUCUGAACCAGCCAUGCCGCGUGCAGGAUGACUGCCCUAUGGGUUGUAAACUGCUUUUAUCCGGGAAUAAACCUACUUACGUGUAAGUAGCUGAACGUACCGGAGGAAUAAGGAUCGGCUAACUCCGUGCCAGCAGCCGCGGUAAUACGGAGGAUCCAAGCGUUAUCCGGAUUUAUUGGGUUUAAAGGGUGCGUAGGCGGCCUGUUAAGUCAGGGGUGAAAGACGGUAGCUCAACUAUCGCAGUGCCCUUGAUACUGAUGGGCUUGAAUGGACUAGAGGUAGGCGGAAUGAGACAAGUAGCGGUGAAAUGCAUAGAUAUGUCUCAGAACACCGAUUGCGAAGGCAGCUUACUAUGGUCUUAUUGACGCUGAGGCACGAAAGCGUGGGGAUCAAACAGGAUUAGAUACCCUGGUAGUCCACGCCCUAAACGAUGAACACUCGCUGUUGGCGAUACACAGUCAGCGGCUAAGCGAAAGCGUUAAGUGUUCCACCUGGGGAGUACGCCCGCAAGGGUGAAACUCAAAGGAAUUGACGGGGGCCCGCACAAGCGGAGGAGCAUGUGGUUUAAUUCGAUGAUACGCGAGGAACCUUACCCGGGCUUGAAAGUUAGUGAAUUAUCUAGAGAUAGAUAAGUGAGCAAUCACACGAAACUAGGUGCUGCAUGGCUGUCGUCAGCUCGUGCCGUGAGGUGUUGGGUUAAGUCCCGCAACGAGCGCAACCCCUAUGUUUAGUUGCCAGCACGUUAUGGUGGGGACUCUAAACAGACUGCCUGUGCAAACAGAGAGGAAGGAGGGGACGACGUCAAGUCAUCAUGGCCCUUACGUCCGGGGCUACACACGUGCUACAAUGGAUGGUACAGAGGGCAGCUACAUAGCAAUAUGAUGCGAAUCUCACAAAGCCAUUCACAGUUCGGAUUGGGGUCUGCAACUCGACCCCAUGAAGUUGGAUUCGCUAGUAAUCGCGUAUCAGCAAUGACGCGGUGAAUACGUUCCCGGGCCUUGUACACACCGCCCGUCAAGCCAUGGAAGUUGGGGGUACCUAAAGUAUGUAACCGCAAGGAGCGUCCUAGGGUAAAACCGA